rnacentral:rRNA from 1 species
CUUUCYUCGGGAAGAAUAAAGUGCNCACGGGUGAGUACACNUAAGUAAUCUACCUUCGAGUGGGGAUAACCCGGGGAAACCCGAGCUAAUACCGAUAACNCAGCGGCAUCNCAAGAUGAACAGUUGUUAAGGAGCAAUCCGCUUGAAGAGGAGCUUGCGGCAGAUUAGCUAGUUGGUAAGGUAAUGGCUACCAAGGCUUCGAUCUGUAUCCGGCUGAGAGGGCGGUCGGCACACUGACACUGAAUAACGGGUCAGACUCCUACGGGAGGCAGCAGUCGGGAAUUUUGGGCAAUGGGCGAAAGCCUGCCCAGCAACGCCGCGUGAAGGAUGAAGUAUUUCGGUAUGUAAACUUCGAAAGAAUGGGAAGAAUCAAUGACGGUACCAUUUAUAAGCUCCGGCUAACCUACGUGCCAGCAGCC